AGAGUUUGAUUAUGGCUCAGGAUGAACGCUAGCUACAGGCUUAACACAUGCAAGUCGAGGGGCAGCAUGACGAUAGCUUGCUAUUGUUGAUGGCGACCGGCGCACGGGUGAGUAACGCGUAUCCAACCUGCCCUUGUCCAUCGGAUAACCCGUCGAAAGGCGGCCUAACACGAUAUGUAGUCCACAGAAGGCAUCUGACGCGGACGAAAUGCGAAGGAGAAGGAUGGGGAUGCGUCUGAUUAGCUUGUUGGCGGGGUAACGGCCCACCAAGGCGACGAUCAGUAGGGGUUCUGAGAGGAAGGUCCCCCACAUUGGAACUGAGACACGGUCCAA
rnacentral:rRNA from 1 species